rnacentral:lncRNA from 1 species
GGCAUUCUUCAUUGGCCCUCAGAACAUCCCUGAGACUCGUCAUUGCUUCUACUGUUCUAGGGAGGAUAAUCUGGAGGUACACAUUGACUGGGAACCUGCCCAAAUAUUACACAAAUCUAACCAAGAAUCAAAUCCAAAUCUUUGGACAUAUGUGAAAAACAGAAAGAGAAGACAAAUGGAGUGCAUGUGUCUGCAUCAGCGAACUACAUUAUUUCUCAGGUGAAGACUGCUGAAGACAACCUGGUAGACUCGAGAUAAAAAAGAUUAUUGCAGAAAAAGAAGGAUACGCAAGUGGUAAAAGAUACACUUUAACAAGGUCCUGAAAGUCGGCAACAUAGGAAGAAGUUGGGGUGAGUAGAGGUUUAUUUAGAAAAUUAUUUAAGUAAUUUAAUGGAUCAUAGCUUCAUAUUAAAUUCAAGUUAACCCCAGUGGCUUCUGUCUGUGGUAAUAGAUGCAGAAUGUUCAGAAUUUGGAGUUUAAAUCUUAGCUCAGGCCACACUGGGAGGGAUGCGUGUCAGACAACCUGGAGUAUCCAGGCAGGAAUAGCUAUGCUGGUGAGGGCAUAGGAGCUGUGCCAUGUGAUGAACAAUCGAAAGAACUAGGAAAAGAGAAACAAAGGGGACAUGAAGUAAUUGUUUCAAACUACAUAAAGGGCUCCAGGGGAGGAGAAGGUUUGGGCUUUUAGUGAUUGCCCCUAAAGAAGGACCUAGCAAGUUCAGGAAAACAGAUUUGGGCUCAAAACAAUAAACUCUGAAAAUGAAUGGGUUCCUUUGGUUGA